AGUGGCGGACGGGUGAGUAACGCGUGAGAAUCUGCCUUGGGGUCGGGGACAACCACUGGAAACGGUGGCUAAUACCGGAUAAGCCGAUUGGUGAAAGAUUUAUUGCCCGAAGAGGAGCUCGCGUCUGAUUAGCUAGUUGGUGAGGUAAGAGCUCACCAAGGCAGCGAUCAGUAGCUGGUCUGAGAGGACGAUCAGCCACACUGGGACUGAGACACGGCCCAGACUCCUACGGGAGGCAGCAGUGGGGAAUUUUCCGCAAUGGGCGAAAGCCUGACGGAGCAAGACCGCGUGAGGGAGGAAGGCUCUUGGGUUGUAAACCUCUUUUCUCAGGGAAGAAGCUCUGACGGUACCUGAGGAAUCAGCCUCGGCUAACUCCGUGCCAGCAGCCGCGGUAAUACGGAGGAGGCAAGCGUUAUCCGGAAUUAUUGGGCGUAAAGCGUCCGCAGGUGGCGAUUCAAGUCUGCUGUCAAAGCACGGGGCUUAACUCCGUAAAGGCAGUGGAAACUGAAUAGCUAGAGUGCCGUAGGGGUAGAGGGAAUUCCCGGUGUAGCGGUGAAAUGCGUAGAGAUCGGGAAGAGCAUCGGUGGCGAAAGCGCUCUACUGGACGGCAACUGACACUCAGGGACGAAAGCUAGGGGAGCGAAUGGGAUUAGAUACCCC
rnacentral:rRNA from 1 species